GAUGAACGCUAGCGGGAGGCCUAACACAUGCAAGCCGAGCGGUAGAGAUGCUUCGGUAUCUUGCGAGCGGCGUACGGGUGCGGAACACGUGUGCAACCUGCCUUUAUGAGGGGGAUAACCUCGCGAAAGGAACAUUAAUACCCCAUUAUAUAUUUAAGGGCAUCAUUUGAUGCUGAAACCCCCGGUGGAUAGAGGUGGGCACGCGCAAGAUUAGAUAGUUGGUGAGGUAACGGCUCACCAAGUCUACGAUCUUUAGGGGGCCUGAGAGGGUGAUCCCCCACACUGGUACUGAGGCACGGACCAGACUCCUACGGGAGGCAGCAGUGAGGAAUAUUGGACAAUGGGUGCGAGCCUGAUCCAGCCAUCCCGCGUGAAGGACGACGGCCCUAUGGGUUGUAAACUUCUUUUGUAUAGGGAUAAACCUAGAUACGUGUAUCUAGCUGAAGGUACUAUACGAAUAAGCACCGGCUAACUCCGUGCCAGCCGCCGCAGUAA
rnacentral:rRNA from 1 species